AAAAUACACUGUGCUGUAAAUAUUGGUGUUUCCCUCAUUCCCUCAGUUACAUCAGUUCCAGCUAUACCAGCCUCUCGCCUCAUUGCUUAUGCCUUGUGUAAAAAAGGAGUUUGGCGGCACAAACGACCCAGUGCAGCUCAAAGAAUGUUACUGCACUCGAGUGCAUAUAGUGUGGCACCAGGCAUAUGUUCAGCUCUCAUAUUGGGGGAAUGCCUCCAAACCGGGCCAGUUUCCCUGGCAGGCCAGCCUCCACUAUCGGAACCAACACCUCUGUGGGGGCUCUGUCAUCACAACAAGCUGGAUUGUGACGGCA
rnacentral:lncRNA from 1 species